AGCAGCUUGGCUUAGUGGAAAGAGCCUGGGCUUGGGAGUCAGAGGCUGGGGGUUCUAAUCCCACUUCUGCCA
rnacentral:tRNA from 1 species